CCUACGGGAGGCAGCAGUGAGGAAUAUUGGUCAAUGGACGCGAGCCUGAACCAGCCAAGUCGCGUGAGGGAAGACGGUCCUAUGGAUUGUAAACCUCUUUUGUCGGGGAGCAAAAGACGCCACGCGUGGCGUUCCGAGCGUACCCGAAGAACAAGCCUCGGCUAACUCCGUGCCAGCAGCCGCGGUAAUCCGGAGGAUGCGAGCGUUAUCCGGGUUUAUUGGGUGUAAAGGGUUCGCAGGCGGAAGAUCAAGGCAGCGGUAAAAUUGAGAGGCUCAACCUCUUCGAGCCGUUGAAACUGGUUUUCUUGAGUGAGGGAGAAGCAGGCGGAAUGCGUGGUGUAGCGGUGAAAUGCAUAGAUAUCACGAAGAACUCCGAUUGCGAAGGCAGCAUACCGGCGCUCAACUGACGCUCAUGCACGAAAGUGUGGGUAUCGAACAGGAUUAGAUACCCCUGUAGUC
rnacentral:rRNA from 1 species